ensembl:snoRNA
AAGACUAUACUUUCAGGGAUCAUUUCUAUAGUUUGAUACUUGAGAAAUGUGUUUCUAAAGUGCUUGGUCUCGCUAUCCAUGAUGAAGAUGUGUGAUAUUCUCUUCAGAGCAUGACGUUGGUGUUGAGAAAAGGCUUUUCCUAGCACUGUGGAUGAUUGUUCUUGCAUCAAACUUUGAUACAGAGAAUAUGUUCUGAGUGGAU